UUGAAAGACUCUGGAGAUAGUCAGAGAAGACUGUCCCCAGGCAAAUGAACCCAUGAAGCAGUUCCCUCAUGGCUCUCACUCGAGCCUUCACCAUUCAUUGAUAUGACGGCAUUGAAUGAACUCAGCAGCAUCUCUUCGAGCUCUUUAAGAAGGAUUUGUUCAUUCCAGAGCCACAAUGAACAUGAACAAUAUAAACAUUCACUGAAGAUUUCACAGAGAAGACAGAAGAAAGAUUUUACAUUGUAUAUCCUACAGCAAAUAAUUUUAACAAACAUAUCCCUUAAACACUUCUGAUUUAUACUAAGCUCCUAUGUGGCCAGAGAGCCAGCAGUUUUCUUGUUUUUGUUUUUCCUGGUUUUUCUUUCCUUCUUCCUAGAUAACACUCCCCCAACACCAUCAUAUUUUUUAAACUGUUGUUAUAAAAGCUUCAACUUCACAGACUUAUCCUCCUCCUGGGACUUGGGGAAGCAAAGGGUCUCUGAACACCUGGACCCACCUACCUUCUGUAGAAGGCAGUUUAGUGACAAAUUGUUUGAUGCUUGAAAAGGCCUUAAAAUAAGCCAGUCCAUCCUCACUACUUCACCAACCUUACUUAUUAUCAUCAAAGUAUUUCUUCCAGACAUAUAAAAUGCUUUCUCUAAGAAUAAAUGACUUUCUCAAUUUCA
rnacentral:lncRNA from 12 species